UCAGUUGGGCGCGUCAUGUGGGGAGCCUUCUGGCUCGCCGGCUUCCUUGGGUGCCGGUCCGUCAACCCGCAUGGCGCGCCCUCUUUU
rnacentral:antisense_RNA from 1 species